rnacentral:misc_RNA from 1 species
GAUGAAGAACGUAGCGAAAUGCGAUACGUAAUGUGAAUUGCAGAAUUCAGUGAAUCAUCGAGUCUUUGAACGCACAUUGCGCCCCCUGGCAUUCCGGGGGGCAUGCCUGUCCGCGCGUCAUUGCUGCCCUCAAGCACGGCUUGUGUGUUGGGCCUCCGUCCUCCUCCCGGGGGACGGGCCCGAAAGGCAGCGGCGGCACCGCGUCCGGUCCUCGAGCGUAUGGGGCUUCGUCACCCGCUCUUGUAGGCCCGGCCGGCGCUUGCCGACACAUCAAUCUUUUUUCCAGGUUGACCUCGGAUCAGGUAGGGAUACCCGCUGAACUUAAGCAUAUCAAUAAGCGGAGGA